CAAAACCCUAUUUCCCAUUCAUCUCCGUUCUUCCAUCGCCUUCAAUACUAGCUCUAUUCAUCUCCGUUCACCCAGAAAACGCUCUGUUGGAGUAGGACAGAGCAGAUCGACGUAAAUCUGAGCGACGAUCCAAAAGAAACCGUAACAAACUUUCUUGUGGAGUGAGAUGUUACAGCUUGGCCGAAGAAAUGAGGAUAAGUCGAGCAUUAUUUGGCUUACUCAUGGAACUUCAGGAAGAAGGAAAAUAAAAAACAGGUCUUUUCGUGUUUGGCUUGGGAGGAAUUGGAAAGAUUUGUGACAAGUGAAAAGGAUAUGUCAUGGAUUCUGUGGUUGGUGCAUUAUUUACGCAGAAUGUGUUUGAUACUAGCUCAAGCUUUGCUUUUAUAUCACAUGCUGCCAAAUCUCCUUUGAAAGAAACUGAUACAAAAAGAAUCCAGCAUAAUAGAAAGAUGAUCUCACAUGGUGUAGAGCCAAAAUGAGAAUAAAUGAUGGAAUGAGUGGAGAUACAAUGGAAAAUGAACUUUUUCAACUCUAUCGGACCAUGGACAUCUUGACCUUGAGUGGCUAAGUUAUGUUGCCCCAGACAAAGCAAAGGAAUUCCUCCUCAGCAUUCAAGAACUAGGACAAAAGAGCGUUGAAUGUGUUGGGCUUUUAUCUCUUAAUCAGUUGGCAUUUCCAGUGGACUUCUUGAUGUAGCUUGGAUUGGUUCCAAUUUGUGUAUGAGGGCAUUCAAUUGCAUAAUUUAUAGUAAGACAACUGAACCAACAGAAAGAUGCUGCAAAAUUAAAGGAAACUGCAAACCAUGCGGUUCUAAUCAUCAAGAGCAGGGUCUAUUUGUCAAUGGCACUUUUUAUGCAUUACUUGCAAUUUUCAUCUACUUUCAAUAAGUCGUUAUUGAAGAAUUGUUUGCAUUAUUAUCUGCCAUCAAUAUAAAACUGAGUGGUCAGUGUUCAGUUCCUAUUAUCUUGGGUUAAUAUACAAUCUAAAUCGUAUGUAGAUCUAGCAUUGACA